rnacentral:tRNA from 1 species
GGUUCUGUGGUGUAAUUGUUAGCACUUUGCACCCUGAAUCACAGGAUCCGAGUUCAAGUCUCGGCAGAACCU